CGGCGCGCUGAGCCAGCAGUCAUGGCGGAAGGAUGACAGCGCGCUGAGCCGAGGACCGGCGCCGGAGUACCGGCCCCUUCCUGGAGAGCCUUGUAAAGACCGUAAAGAGAAGGAAGAGAAAGCCAGGAAGAAGGCGCUCAGCCCUUGACCACGGCUGCACGGAACGACCACAGCGAGAUCCGGCCUUCGGGAAGGAGCAGCCGAAGCCUCCAUCCGUCAGGCCCAGAGCCAGCCUUGACCUUCUCUUCCUAGAUGGCUUCCCCGACAGCCCUGACUUCUCCUGCUUCUGCCCCCCCAGACUAGCCUCCCCGGGACACGGAAGGGGCCAAUUCGGAGGCCCCUGCAAGGCUUCCCCAAACUCUCCAGGCGGCCAUGCCUUCCGGUCCAUCACCUUCUCAUCAAGAGGUACUUCGUCGCUGCCUUUUCACGUAUUAAUCCAAGGAUGAAGGACAAUCAAUACUGAACCCCGAAAAACGCUUCUGCAGCCCCGGAGGUGGACAGCCUCUGGAAGGCGAAUGUCCAGCAUCUGCAUCAGGGAAAUGAUUCCCACGUGGAGGACUCUUUCGCUGACCAUAGCGCUGACCCUGGAGCGCCGCUCUGAGGCCCCUGACGACAGCCUAUGCCAGCGUGUGACCCAGAAUUCAGCACCAGCAAACGUCUUCACCCCCUUUGACCGUAGGAGCCCGGACAGACGAGGACCCCAAAUGGAGCGCGAUCCCAGGGAGGUAACUCAGAAAGACAAAACACCCCUUUGGUGCCCUCCUAACUCGUGCGUGAUGCAGGCACGUCCCUUCAAAGCCUUUUCAAGGUCCUGAAAACAAGCCGGACUUUCUUCGAUCCGGACUGCUUUCCUGGGCACUUGUGAGCAAUCGCCUUCCCCCAUUUCAUCCUGUUCUCCUUCCUCUUCCAUUUCCUCACCUCCCAAAGUGAAACCAUCCUCCAAGGUGUCAUGCCACCCUCGUCUUCCCACCAACGCCGUCUUCGCUACCAUCCACGCCAUUGGGUAGACGCCAUCUUUUCAGUCCAAGCACAACGGACUCGGUGGAGAUUCUGUCCCCAGCGAUUUGAUCCGCUUCCCUAAUGCAGUGAGCGGUGGAGUAAAUUCAGGGUUCCCAGCCAACAUCCACCCCUUAUAGUCUCUCCUUUCGUGAUCUCUGAAUGGCUUAUUAAAGACUCCAUCGAACACGUGUCACUGCGACACCGUUCCUCCCGGAAUUACGUCUAGGUCGGGGCGCAUUUUAGCCAUUCUCUUCUUCCCAUUUUCAUCAGGAGCCCCUUGAACGCACCCAGGCGCCCCCCCCCAGACCACAUCCAGACGCUCUGACACAGUUUGUCAUCAUCCGUCCCUUUUCCGGCACACAAAAGGUCACUCCUGAUGAGAACUUUUCCUUCGCCCAUGCUUUUCGCCUUAACAUUUCGCACAGAGUCCGUUUCUCGGUUGGGCAUUAGAGUCUUCUCAUUUCCAUGCAUUCUAUCCACACUGACGUGGCACCUUUGGUUCAAUCAGUGACAUUUGAUGGAAUCUCAAAACAACCAGGGUUGGGUGGGCAUUUCCCAUCUGCCCGGAGACAGCCGUGCUUUUCACGGAGGUGGAGGCUCCCGAUACACAACUUACGGUUUCUAAGCUGGAAGUGCUCAAAUACAGGGCGAAGGUGACUUUCAAAGGUACAUAUUGGAGGGGAAACGUGCACCAUACUCAGGCUCAUGCGGUAAGUCUCUCAUUCUCAGACAACUUCCUGACAACACAAUAACUGAACUAAGCACGAUUGCUGUCUGAGGGGGCCCAGAAAAACAGGUCAUACCUGAAUUUUGGGGCUCUGCCGGCUUCUGUGUGGGUUCCUAUUUAUGGCAAAUAUUUUAACUGUAAACAGCCCAAAGGCAGGACCAUUUGAAAAUAAACUCAUGCCAACGUCUCUAAAGACAACAGGCAAAUGGGCCAACGCAAAAGGAAACAAAACAAAACAAACACACAACUGACUGGAGAUGGAACAAGUUUGGUCGAUUUCCACACGACACCAACACGUGGCCGAAUGUUGUGUCGAGAAAGACAUUCCACCCUUUCUUGCGAGAGUGACAAUUGGGCACUUUCAGAGUUGAGUCUUCAGCCCUUCUUGGCUACAGCCUUCGGCGCGCAGCUACUUCUGCACACUUCAGAGGCAGGAUUUUGGCUGAGCAAGAUUUACUCACCCAAACAGACCGAGACCCUCCUGCCUUCUUACUGUGCUUUUCUGCUGUAGCCGACCUUGAUUUAUUGCUCAUCUAUGAUGGAAUCCAGACUCCGUUUUCUCGAAUGAGGUCAGCUGUUUAUUUGAGAACUGUACCUAGAAUGGAGGGUGCCCACAAGGGCUAGUACGUGUUACUGGAUGCCAUGUGUAAGGAUUGUGCAAAUCACAAAAAUAAAACUAAAUUCCGUUUCUCAGACAA